ACACGAGUACUAUUUCAGAUUCAUCACUAAUAUAACAGGAGGAAAAUGGACUGGUGAUCCAGGAGUGACUCUUAAUGUCACAGAUCUUCAGGUGGAGUCUCCUGAGAGAGUGACAGAGGGAGAUUCAGUCCGUCUGACAUGUAAAAGCAGCUGCACUCUGACUGACAGAGCAACAUUCAUCUGGUACAGAAACUCACAGCCAUUAACUGAGAGAAGAGACAGAAACAAUGAACUCCUGCUGCAGUCAGUCAGAAGAGAGGAUGCAGGCAGAUAUAGCUGUGCUGUACACGGACACAAUCACAUCUCUCCUGCUGUUCAGCUCAAUGUCACGUAUCCUCCAGG